AUUUGCCAGCAUUCAUUUAUUAACUGUAUGCCUUCAGUUUUUUAUGAACAUAAACUACAUCGCCUAAACUGGAUACUUUUUGAGUGUUCACACAACUAUCAUAAUUGGAAGUCCAUGCUGUUUUAGCUAGGAAUUCUUCCAUCCCCCCACACCGAAAGCUCCUUUGUCACACAAUACUUCUGCUGGCCAAAGCACUUUGUAAAGCCUACAACUUCACUGCUGAAAGGGAUGGAUUUGAUGAAGUAGAACACAGAACUCCAUGCCCUGAGAUGUUGUCAAAACAAGAGCAAAUUCAGAGGCAAAGAAAGAAGUCAAAUAUAUUUAGCCUGAAGUUGUAGUUAAGAGUGGAGCAGGUAAUAGACUGGCAGAUAGGCCCCAAAUUUAAACUGAGGAAUUGGAAAAGUAAACUUAUCAAGCCUUAAUAAGUUACCACAUAUCCCUGCUUGUCUGGAAAGUGCACACCUACUCCAGUUUAGAGCCACAGAGGGUUAAGGUUUCACAUAUCUCUGGCUGAACCUCAAGAUUUGGGUGAAAAAAGAGAUAAGAGAGAACCUCAGUGGAAAGUAAAUGUUGGGGAAGACUUGUAAACUGUCUCGACCUUGAAAGCAUUCUCUUACCCACACCCAUGUUCAUCAGCGAAAGGUGCUACUUUAUUGACCAAAGGAGUUUGAGUACAACCUCUGACCAAUCAUUGGCUGAUAUAUAAACUCAGUAAUUAUGAAACAUGAGGAGAAACAUCAGCAGUUGCACUGUGUGCAAAAUUACACACUCCACAGAAUUAAAUCAAGUAAAUCCUAACCAAACAAAUAUCAAUACAACCACAGCCUAUAAAAGGGAAAAAUCAGAAGUCAGAGUUGUUAUCACGUAUUAUACAAAACAUCAGUUUUCAUGGAAAAAUUAUGAGAUAUAUCAAAGAAGCAGGAGUGUGGUCCAUAUCAAAAUUAAAAAAAAAAAUUGAAAGAAACUGGCUGACUUAAAGUAUAUAUGUUGAAUUUAUUGG
rnacentral:lncRNA from 1 species